rnacentral:lncRNA from 1 species
CGGUCACCAGCGAACGUGCACACUGGCAUAGGAAGGAAGGGAGAGAAGAGAAGAAGAGAACCAUAUGCUUACCUCGAUCUCCGACGACCUUUUCGGUGAGGAAUCACGGCAAGCACGGUGAUGGUUUUCACGGGCGAUUUCUAGCGAUCUUCGCUGUUUUGCUCCAAGUUUUCAUGAUGGGAGGAAGGGAGAAGGGUCUCCCCCUUAAAUAGAGCCAGAGGAGAGGUGUUUGACUCCUCUCCGAUGAGGUUUCUGACUCCAAUUAGGAGCCGGUCC